rnacentral:rRNA from 1 species
UACGUAGGGUGCAAGCGUUAAUCGGAAUUACUGGGCGUAAAGCGUGCGCAGGCGGUUUGGCAAGAAAGAUGUGAAAUCCCAGGGCUUAACCUUGGAACUGCAUUUUUAACUGCCAGGCUAGAGUAUGUCAGAGGGGGGUAGAAUUCCACGUGUAGCAGUGAAAUGCGUAGAUAUGUGGAGGAAUACCGAUGGCGAAGGCAGCCCCCUGGGAUAAUACUGACGCUCAUGCACGAAAGCGUGGGGAGCAAACAGGAUUAGAUACCCUGGUAGUCCACGCCCUAAACGAUGUCAACUAGCUGUUGGGGCCUUCGGGCCUUAGUAGCGCAGCUAACGCGUGAAGUUGACCGCCUGGGGAGUACGGUCGCAAGAUUAAA